rnacentral:snRNA from 1 species
GGAGGGCGCGGCGGUCGCUGCA